UACAGAGGUCUCAAGCGUUGUUCGGAUUCAUUGGGCGUAAAGCGCACGUAGGCGGCUUUGUAAGUUAGAGGUGAAAGCCCGGGGCUCAACUCCGGAAUUGCCUUUAAGACUGCAUCGCUAGAAUUGUGGAGAGGUAAGUGGAAUUCCGAGUGUAGAGGUGAAAUUCGUAGAUAUUCGGAAGAACACCAGUGGCGAAGGCGACUUACUGGACACAUAUUGACGCUGAGGUGCGAAAGCGUGGGGAGCAAACAGG
rnacentral:rRNA from 1 species